GAGUACAGUGGCGUACGGGUGAGUAACACGUGGAUGAUCUACCUUCUGGUGGGGAAUAACGCUGGGAAACCGGCGCUAAUACCGCAUAAGCCUGAAAAGGGAAAGCCGCAAGGCGCCGGAAGAGGAGUCCGCGGCCGAUUAGCUAGUUGGUAGGGUAAGAGCCUACCAAGGCCAAGAUCGGUAGCCGGCCUGAGAGGGCACACGGCCACACUGGCACUGAAACACGGGCCAGACUCCUACGGGAGGCAGCAGUGGGGAAUCUUGCACAAUGGGGGAAACCCUGAUGCAGCGACGCCGCGUGAGCGAUGAAGCCCUUCGGGGUGUAAAGCUCUUUCGACGGGAACGAUAAUGACGGUACCCGGAGAAGAAGCUGCGGCUAACUACGUGCCAGCAGCCGCGGUAAUACGUAGGCAGCAAGCGUUGUUCGGAGUUACUGGGCGUAAAGAGUAUGUAGGCGGCCUUGUAAGUUUGGUGUGAAAUCUCCCUGGCUCAACCGGGAGGGUGCGCCGAAAACUGCAGGGCUAGAGUGUGGGAGAGGAAAGCGGAAUUCCUGGUGUA
rnacentral:rRNA from 1 species